AGGCCUGCGGCGCUGCCAUGGAGACACGGCCCAGCGGCCCCAGGCCCCGCCCUGGGAGCCCCGCAGCGCGUCGCGCCGCUGCCCGCAUCUCCGAGGCCCACGACGAGCGGGGCCUCACGGGAGCUGGAUGCUCCGAGCAGCAAGGCGGCCCCGGGGGCCCCUUCCGGUCCCGGGGCUGACGCCUGGCGGCGUCUCCGGGAACCCGCGCCCUUUCAAGCGCCGCUGGCUCCUGUUUCACAGAUGGAGACCCUGAAGCCCCAACAAGCAGCCUCCCCAGCACCUCCCAGUGACUGAAAAAGCUGGCACUGGGCGCCCGUCUCACUCUCCACCCAGCUCCCAGGCUGCCCCACGGGACCAGCACCUUUGGGGAGAGACGAGACCUGAACAAACGCUGGGGCCGGAUCUCCAGGGUGGGUCAGAACAGCCGUUGCCCUGAAAGCUGGCCCGGACAGAUGCGUGCAGGGCGUGCCACCGGAGCUCCUUCCAGCUUGCGUCUGGGGCCACCAUGUCCCUUCCUCAGGGCACUGGAUCCAUCUCUUCAAGCUCAGUGGUCCAGGCCAUGGUGGCAGAAUCACCCCCCAGGGUGUGACGCCUCGUCCCUGUCAAUUCCACACAGCUGCACCCGGAAGAGCUGUGGCCGGGCGCCGCUCUGACCUGUGUGCGGUCCCCUGAAUGGGUCUCAGGUGUCUUCAGAAUGGCGAGGCCGCCUCAUUUCCUCACCACACAACCCUCCUGAGGACGUUGCCUGCAAAUGGGCGGAAUUCCUAAUUUCUACCAUUCAGUUAAACGAGGGAUCCUGAAACCCCAAAGCUGGGAAAGCUGUCCGUUAAUUUAGUGCGCGUGGGCCGUCUCAGAACAGCAGGGUUCCCAGGAGUCCGGCGGGACAGGGGAGGGGAUGAGUGGCCGCGUCCCCCUGGCAGAGAAGGCCUUGUCUGAAGGCUACGCCCGCCUCCGGUACAGGGACACCUCCUUGCUCAUCUGGCAGCAGCAACAGCAGAAGUUGGAGUCGGUGCCACCUGGGACGUACCUGAGCAGGAGCCGAAGCAUGUGGUACUCACAGUAUGGAAAUGAGGCCAUCUUGGUCCGAGACAAAAACAAGCUCGAGGUCUCUAGGGACACAGGGCAGUCCAAGUUUUGCACAAUUAUGUAAUUCCGAUGUGAGCACCUGCACCCAGGACCACACUUUGAGGAAAACAGACCUGAGUUUCAUUCGGUUGUCUUGUUGAUUUCCAAUCCUUGCUGGAAGAUUUUGAAUAAUGAAUGUGAAGAUCAAACUGUGGUGUAAGAACCCAAGAAGUGCAGAAUUGGCCCCCGAGCCCCUCAGCACAGCCGCGGUGUGACUGGUGCACAGGACACUUCCCCUCUGGAGUCCCCUCCGUGGUCAGCUGUUGUGACAUUCGAAUUCUCCAGCUGUGCAAGUUCAUUCGCAAACGUCCUAGAAGUGGAACUGCUGGGUCAAAGUGCAUUCCCCAAAUGUCCUGCCAGAGGCCUGGUCGGCAGCAGCCUCCUGCACAGCCCGAGUCCCUUCUGCGAGAGUCCUGGCUUGUUUGCAGCCUGCAGCUGGGAGAUUUGAAGUCAGACUUCCAGGAUUGCCGCAUGGAGCUGCAGAGGGAGUGAGCAUGGGGCUGGAGGACCUGCCCCGCCGGCUGACAUUCCCACAGCAAGGUGGGCCCGCCAAGGAAGCACUCCACAUCUGCUAGAAAUGCUGGCAGAAAGCACUGGCCACCAUACAGGACAGACCACACCAGAGCUCCAUACCCAGCGUCUGCCUGGAGGCUCCCCCACGCCGAGGUCCGGGAGAAUGCCUGGUUUCAGUCAUUUCCGGACUAACUGUGACGACGCGUGAGCAGGGAGCACCGUGCGAGUCUCCGGGAGGGAAUCCUCCUGGGGCCCAGAGACUCCUCUACCCCUGGGGAGGGCAGACAGGCUCGGGAGGGCCUGGCCAGGCCACUGGAGGCUGGCAGGGAGCAGGCAUGUCCACCCGCAAGCCUGGGAGGCUAACUCUGGCAUUCCUGGCUGGAGGGGCCAUGCUUAUUGGUGGGCCAGUUUGGGACAUCCCCGUACUCAAAGGCCAUAUGGCAGCCUCUGGGAAAACAAAACCAAAACAUCACCUUCUAUUAAACUCUGUAUAUUAUUAUUUUUUACAAUAGAAAGUUAAAAAUCAAGACUUAGAUUUACUAUACAUUUUUUCUCUCAGAUUACAAAGUUUAUAUUAUAUAACUGGGGUUCCCUAAAUUGAUUUCUUUUAAAACAGUCUUAAAGAGACCAGAAGUGAAUACAAAAGAACUAAACAAAAUAAAAAAUUAGAAUGUGCUGUAGCUGAAA